GACGAACGUUGGCGGCGUGCUUAAUACAUGCAAGUCAACUGAAGCAGUGGUAGCAAUAUCGCUGUGGAGGUGGCGCACGGGUGAGUAACACGUAGGUAAUCUGCCUUCAGGUCUGGCAUAACUCCGGGAAACCGGGGCUAAUAGCAGAUGAUGCAGCGGCUCGACAUCGAGACAGUUGUUAAAGCUAUGGCGCCUGAAGAUGAGCCUGCGUCUGAUUAGCUAGUUGGCGGGGUAACGGCCCACCAAGGCAACGAUCAGUAGCUGGUCUGAGAGGAUGAUCAGCCACACUAGAACUGAGACACGGUCCAGACUCCUACGGGAGGCAGCAGUAAGGAAUAUUGCUCAAUGGGAGAAAUCCUGAAGCAGCAACGCCGCGUGAGGGACGAAGGGCUUUUGCUUGUAAACCUCUGUAGUGAGAGAAAAAAAUCCCAAUCUUUGGGACAUGAUGGUAUCUCAAAAGUAAGCCCCGGCUAACUACGUG
rnacentral:rRNA from 1 species